rnacentral:rRNA from 1 species
GACGAACGCUGGCGGCGUGCUUAACACAUGCGAGUCGAACGGAAAGGCCCUGCUUUUGUGGGGUGCUCGAGUGGCGAACGGGUGAGUAACACGUGAGUAACCUGCCCUUGACUUUGGGAUAACUUCAGGAAACUGGGGCUAAUACCGGAUAGGAGCUCCUGCUGCAUGGUGGGGGUUGGAAAGUUUCGGCGGUUGGGGAUGGACUCGCGGCUUAUCAGCUUGUUGGUGGGGUAGUGGCUUACCAAGGCUUUGACGGGUAGCCGGCCUGAGAGGGUGACCGGCCACAUUGGACCUGGGUUCCGGCCCAGACUCUUACGGGGGGCAGCGGUGGGAAUAUUGCACAAUGGGCGGAAGCCUGAUGCAGCAACGCCGCGUGCGGGAUGACGGCCUUCGGGUUGUAAACCGCUUUCGCCUGUGACGAAGCGUGAGUGACGGUAAUGGGUAAAGAAGCACCGGCUAACUACGUG